CACCAAGUUUGAAGAAACAACACAAUCAUUUAAAAUGAUUGCUUCUUUUUUGGGACAAGUUUUGAAGGAAGUACGCAAAGGGAAUGUUUCAUCGAACCUUUUAGAUGGUGCGGAAUCAGCAAUAAAUAUGAUUACUGAUGAUUCUGGUGGCAAUGGUGACAACCAGGCCGAGAAAUGAGACUUUGACACUAUUGCCAAAUGCAAGAUUAUUGAUGAUUCAAGUGGUAAUAGUAAAUGUAGAUCAAGAGAUGAACAAGUUAUCUUGAAGCUAAGCUAGCAUAAGGAUAGGUUUACUUGUUCGUAACCUUGUUUUUAUUUAGUUUUGGA